rnacentral:rRNA from 1 species
GACAGAGGCCCCAAGCGUUAGGCGGAAUCACUGGGCUUAAAGCGUGUGUAGGCGGAUCGUUAAGUGUCUUGUGAAAUCCCACGGCUCACCCGUGGAACUGCUGGGCAUACUGGCGAUCUUGGGCCAACUAGGGGCAGCCGGAACAAGCGGUGGAGCGGUGAAAUGCGUAGAUAUCGCUUGGAACGCCGAAGGUGAAAAACAGGCUGCUGGGGUUGUGCCGACGCUGAGACACGAAAGCCAGGGGGAGCAAACAGG